AAGCGAAACCAUUUCGAGCAAAACAUUCGAUAUGGUCUGUCCGGCAUGGUAGCCGGGCACUGAUGAGCAGCCAGAU
rnacentral:hammerhead_ribozyme from 1 species